AGAGUUUGAUCCUGGCUCAGGACGAACGCUGGCGGCAUGCCUAACACAUGCAAGUCGAACGGGGAUACGAGAGCUUGCUUUUGUAUCUUAGUGGCGGACGGGCGAGUAACGCGUGAGCAACCUGCCCUUCAGUGGGGAAUAACGUCUGGAAACGGACGCUAAUACCGCAUAACACAACGGAGCCGCAUGACUUUGUUGUCAAAGGAUUUAUUCGCUGAAGGAUGGGCUCGCGUCCGAUUAGCUAGAUGGUGGGGUAAAGGCUCACCAUGGCGACGAUCGGUAGCCGAACUGAGAGGUUGAUCGGCCGCAUUGGGACUGAGACACGGCCCAGACUCCUACGGGAGGCAGCAGUGGGGGAUAUUGCACAAUGGGGGAAACCCUGAUGCAGCAAUGCCGCGUGAGGGAAGAAGGUCUUCGGAUUGUAAACCUAAGUAGCCAGGGACGAUAAUGACGGUACCUGGAGAGUAAGCUCCGGCUAACUACGUGCCAGCAGCCGCGGUAAUACGUAGGGAGCGAGCGUUGUCCGGAUUUACUGGGUGUAAAGGGUGCGUAGGCGGGAUGGCAAGUCAGAUGUGAAAUACCGGGGCUUAACCCCGGGGCUGCAUUUGAAACUGUCGUUCUUGAGUGAAGUAGAGGCAGGCGGAAUUCCUAGUGUAGCGGUGAAAUGCGUAGAUAUUAGGAGGAACACCAGUGGCGAAGGCGGCCUGCUGGGCUUUAACUGACGCUGAGGCACGAAAGCAUGGGGAGCAAACAGGAUUAGAUACCCUGGUAGUCCAUGCCGUAAACGAUGAUUGCUAGGUGUGGGGGGACUGACCCCUUCCGUGCCGGAGUAAACACAAUAAGCAAUCCACCUGGGGAGUACGGCCGCAAGGCUGAAACUCAAAGGAAUUGACGGGGGCCCGCACAAGCAGUGGAGUAUGUGGUUUAAUUCGAAGCAACGCGAAGAACCUUACCAGGUCUUGACAUCCAACUAACGAGGCAGAGAUGCGUUAGGUGCCCUUCGGGGAAAGUUGAGACAGGUGGUGCAUGGUUGUCGUCAGCUCGU
rnacentral:rRNA from 1 species